CAUCGGUCUCUUUCUCCGUCCCGACUCCCGACAUGAGCAGGAGCGACGGCCAUGAGCAGGGGCACGGCGGCAGCGGCUGCCCUCUUCCUCCUCCUCCGACGCCAUCCCUCGCCUGCCUCUCGCCUCCGUUUCUCCCUCCCCUUUCUCUCUUUGUCCCUUUUCUUCCUGACGCGGCAGCAGGCGCGGGUGCUGGUGCGGGUGCCAGGCGACGGCGCCCCUGGUGGGCAGCGCCGGCAUGGGAGGGGCUCAGCACCUCCUCCCUCUCCCCCAUCCUCCGGCCCCAGUGUCUUCAACGCCUCAUCCGGCUGGGGAGCUUAUGCUCCUUUGCUCGACGAAACUCUAGGUGCCUUUGCGGCGGCUGCAGCGGUGGUAAAACUCAGCGACUGCAUUUCAUGCAAGAAACACAGGUUACAACUCUGUGCUACUGAAUAUCCAACUCUGGGCUCCUGAGUGGAAUAUAUAUUUUAUACACAUUCAAGCUUCUUCAAAGGAAAGCUUGAACGCUUGAGUGGAUCUGCGUUGACAGUGAUUGAGUCAUUAUCAAGGUUUGCUUUAUGAAACUAUUAUGUUUCCAUUUUUUACUGCUCUCACAUAUUGUCUUUGGUUGUUUAAAAUAUAAACUGCUAUAUUUUCUGUUAUGACACUUCUGUUCAUAAGAUUGGUACGUGAUGCCUCUCUGUUUGGCUCACGCAGCCUUCUUGUCUUAUGUAACCUAGCAAAAUCUGAGAGACGAAUUCUCUGGCUUCCAGAAAUCUGUCAGUUGAUAUCUUUUUCAGUUUAUGCUAUUUGAUCAUGUAUAUAUACAGGAUUUCAAGAAUCAAAUCAGCUUUGCCUUCUGUCAUUGUUUUUCCUUUUUUGCUACUCACUGUAACAUGGAUUUGCACUAGGCAAUUUUUACUACCAUCUACCUUGAAGAAGGUGAAACCUACUGGUUGAUCAUGGAGGCUGUAAAAAGUAUUAGCUCUUUUUUUCCUUUUCAAACCUGACAUGUGCCUUUAUUCUGGUUUUUAUUCAAAGUGUUCCAAAUAUUCACUUGAGUUCCCUUAUCUGGAAGAUAAAAUCAUUUGUAGGUUGGCUCACAACCUAUUACAUCUAUGCAAAAAAAGAAACUGAGUGUUGCAGAGAAAAUUAAUUCAAUGCCCUUCAGCCUCCACACAGGUAUGUACAUUUUGUGAGCAAUCAUGUAGAUUAUGUGAUUACUGUUCAAGAAGAUUAGAAACCCUCAUGGGUUCUAGCAUAAUCUGUUUAACUCUAAAUUUAGCCUAUAUGUGACGGAACACUUUGGCGGUCAACUCACUACCAAAUCAGGGAGUCCAGGACGUGAUGAAAGCAAGGUAGGGUAAAGCUACACCUUUUAGUUCUGCAAAAUUUAACAAUGCAACAUUUUCUAAUUACAUUUCAGUUCUGUAAAAUAGAUUGGAUAGAGCUACAACUUCAAAUUCAUACCUGCCUUGCCAUGUUUGCAAUUUGUGUAUAUAUGAUUUCGCUUGCUGAUGCAGUAAUGAUGGUGUUUCAAAGGUGCCUUAUGAUUUGUACAUAAAAGCAUCGAGAGUUUUUUAUAGUGCUAUAAGGUUGCCUCCUUCAGCGCCUUGCUCUGACUUUAUAUGUUCCCUCCAGUUCAUUUUAAGGCAGUACAUGUGACUUCAUUCAGUGAACAGCUAAUAUAUGUUCUGCAGUACCC